UACAGAGGUCCCGAGCGUUGUUCGGAUUCACUGGGCGUAAAGGGUGCGUAGGUGGCGGGGCAAGUUUGAUGUGAAAGCUCAGGGCUUAACCCUGAAAUGGCAUUGAAUACUGCUUUGCUGGAGGUUUGGAGGGGGGACUGGAAUUCUUGGUGUAGCAGUGAAAUGCGUAGAUAUCAAGAGGAACACCAGUGGCGAAGGCGAGUCCCUGGACAACACCUGACACUGAGGCACGAAAGCUAGGGGAGCAAACAGG
rnacentral:rRNA from 1 species